GUUUUAAUAAUUUAAGUAAAAUAUUGGUCUUGUAAACCAAAAAUAAGAAAAUCUUUUAAAACU
rnacentral:tRNA from 2 species